GGGCCGGUAGCUCAGUCGGUAGAGCAUCGCCCUUUUAAGGCGGUGGUCCAGGGUUCGAAUCCCUGCCGGCUCACCA
rnacentral:tRNA from 1 species